GAAUUUUAUCUCUUCAGGCUACAAUAAACGAAGAUGCUUCUGGAGAUGUUCUUGCUAUGAGGAUGCAGAUUCAACAACUUAAGGUUGGUUUUAGACUUUUAGCUCAAUUUUCCAUACUCUUUUGUGGUCUUGCAACUGUCAUAGGAAGAACCAAAUUAAAUUAUAUGUUAUGGUGUUGGUUGUAAUUGAAGAUUUUGUGGUUGUUAGAAAGAAGUAUCUCACUUGCAAAGCGUGAUUAAUGGGGGAACUGGAACUGGAACUGGGAAUCAUGAAAAUGAUGGUUGGGCUGUGGGAUCUCCGGGAGGCUUCAGAUGGGAAGGGUUUCAGGGAUCAUUUAGUCCAGUUACUGCUGUUAAACGGAUGUCUCA
rnacentral:lncRNA from 1 species